CGAGGAUGAAUUCAUUACCAGAGCAGAUCUUAACCGUGUGUUGGACAGAGGCCAUGCCGUGUAUUCAGAUGCCAGAAAGAGGUUUGUGAACAGCGUGUUUCUCGCCUGUGAUGAGCUUCCCACAGUGGUCACCAGCCGCAGACACGAGUAUCAAGUGGACAUGUCUCAGUUUGCUCAUUAUGGCACAUUUGAUGGUACAAAUCAUCUUCCGAGCCUUGAACAGGGACUACAGUGUUUGGCUUCAGCGGUUCGCUAUGCUUUGCUAGUCAUGGGAGGAACAGUCAUCGCAGUUUGCAGGCUGACUUCAGGUGAAUACGCAUAUUUUGACCCUCACCCACGUAAGUCUACAGGAAUGCCAUUGUCGCUAGCUGUAAGUGGUGGAACUGCAGUUAUGUUAAAAUUCACACGUCUUAACGACAUGAUUGACAGGAUCAAAUGCUUGUACCGAAUGUUUAGCAUCGCACCAACCUGCACUUAUGAGUUACAGCCUGUCGAGUUUCACAGUGAAAACGCAGCUGACCAAAGAGAUGCUGAUGAAAACAGACAAACAGCUACAACUGUUCCAGCACCAGCUUUAAAUGAACCUGAAUUUGAAACCCCAAAAUCCACUGAGCAGACACAGAAAACUGUGACCGACACUUUAACCACAGAAGUGAUGUCAUCCAGAGUGAAUUAUUCAAAUGAGCCAGCUGCUGAGCUGAACAAUCGUCCUUCUGAUUAUUUAGAAAUAGAAACCUCUGCAUCUUCUGUAAGAGACACUCAAGUAACAAAAGAAUCUGUUCCUCAGAAUGAUUUAAACACUGCCUCCUGUUUAACUAAGACAACAGAGGAACUCUCACAUAAACUGUUGAAGCAUAAUAAACAGCAAAGGAGAAAGAUUAGGAGACGAUUAUUGGUCCAAGAAAAACUACCACAGAGAAAGGAAAAUGAGAAAAAGAAAGAGAGACAGACGUACACUUUUGAUGAAAGCUUUAAGGCAAAGAAAAAAGAUUCUAGUAGAAAGUCUCAUGAUUCUGAUCACAGUAAGAAAAAGAGUGUGUACAAAAAUAAUCUGUAUAAACUCAAUGCUACAUAUAGAGAGAAACAGAGAGAACAUUUGAGAAAAACCUAUAGAGAUAGUGCUAAAAUUAGAGAGAGAAAAAG
ensembl:lncRNA